rnacentral:rRNA from 1 species
GGAGGGUGCGAGCGUUGUUCGGAAUUAUUGGGCGUAAAGCGCGUGUAGGCGGCUUGGUAAGUCGGGUGUGAAAGCCCGGGGCCCAACCCCGGAAUUGCACUCGAAACUAUCUCGCUAGAGCCCCGGAGAGGAGAGCGGAAUUCCCGGUGUAGAGGUGAAAUUCGUAGAUGUCGGGAGGAACACCAGCGGCGAAGGCGGCUCUCUGGACGGUGACUGACGCUGAGACGCGAAAGCGUGGGGAGCAAACAGGAUUAGAUACCCUGGGUAGUCCACGCCGUAAACGUUGGGUGCUAGGUGUCGCGGGUAUUGACCCCCUGCGGUGCCGUCGCUAACGCAUUUAGCACCCCGCCUGGGGAGUACGGUCGCAAGGCUA